UUUCGGGUUGUGAUGGUUAUGAAGAGC
rnacentral:sRNA from 1 species